UCGGGUAAAACACAAGUUUCACGUGCAAACCCAUGAGCAAGAAGUGGAAGCUGAAAUGCGGAAUUGCUUCGGAACUCUGCUGUGCCACUGUGCCAAGCUGUGGGGUCCCAACACCUCUCGGCGAUGCUGCGAGGGCUGUGGGGUCCCAACACCUCAGGAGGUGUUGGAGGGCCCUUCUGCUGGCAGCUCCACGCAUGCUUAGUUUGUAGCAGCACGGUGCCACUGCAGGCGCCCAGCAACUGUUUGCAAGAUGCUCUGCAGUGGAAGGGAGAGACAAGUGCCGCGGAGCAGUCCCCUCGUUGAACUGCCUUCUCUGUCGCCAACAUACUCCUUCUGACCAGAGCGGAGUUCACAGGAGGGACUGCCCUCGUGUUUCCAGAUGGGACCGAAGGCGAAGGUGCUCCGGGUUCCCGGCUGGGUUCCAGGACUGAAGCUCUGGGAGAUGGCCUGGGCAAGUUGUGGCUUUGGGCUUCCUUCGAGAGCUGCCAGCUCAAAGCCCCGCUGUCAGCCAGGCGUCUCUGCAGGUGGGAGGGUACAGAGCGGCACCUGCGUGAGCCCUGCCAAGGCACCACCCCGGUACGCUCUCCUGAGCAACUGAUGGAGGUGGCGAUGGGUCAGCAGCUCCUCGCGGGUCUUUGUUUGCAGAAGUGUCCCCAAGGAAGGCUCUGCCAGACCCACGGCUGCUGCCUGCACUGGAGCACCACGGGCAUCCCGGGGGUGGGUCGUCAUUUCACAGACUUCCCACGCCAAGCCCGGCUUCUAAAGGGGCAGACUGAAAGACUGUGCCGAAGGAUGCGCUUUGGGAAGGAAGCGGUCGCACGCUGCCACUCUCUGACCAAGGAAGAGAGGCAACGCAGGCAACUGCCGCACCAGGUAAAGGCAGGUUCUUGGUCAUCCGCUGUCAGCAAGCAGAACCAGCAUGCGUGUGCAGGUUCUUGCCCUGGUACCGCAUUAUGGCCGGGAGAACAAAGGCUGGAGGGCAAACAGAGCUGAGAGGCCAAAGGGAGGCUCCUGAGUGCGCUGAGUUGCAGUGACUUUGGCCGAUGCCCCAGCUUCUGCUGAGCCUCAUUGUGGCCUGAGGAGUUUCACUUGCUCAAAGAUGCUAAGCGAAUGAAAAAGAACACUGCUGGCAACGUCGGCCCUCCUGUGGGAUUACCAGUAGUGCACAGGACACAGCAAUGUUCGCAAUUGUUCUUCCAGGCGUGGAUGGGGAGAACAAUGCUAAGACCGCAACGCCCCCAAAUUUCCAAAGAUCUUGUAUAGAAGGCGCUGCGGCAUUCUUGGCUCUCCUCACGCUUGUGGCAGUUGGGUGCUGCGUGCUUAUGCGGCGCUGGAGGCAGAAAAAUCAGUGCCUCGCCGCAGCCCAGGCAGCUGCGACAGACCCCCGCGGCCGGCCCUUGAGCCCGUACAGGCGGCCUGACCACCGUGGCAUGCCCGAGAGCCAGGCCCGACGGCAGCAGCCCCCAGCAGUGCCUGGAGGACCGCGCUGCCUGCCACCAGCACGGCCUCCACGGCCCCCACGCCCGGCACCAGUCCAAUGGGAGGCACGCGACCAGCCUGGUGACCCCCAGAGCACGGCCCUCGUGUCCCCCCCCUCCUCCCAGGGCUGGGGGAGGCCCCCCUGUGGUGCCUACCGGUGGAAUUACUCAGCCUCAGGCCACUUUCAAUAAAUAUUGAAUAACACGG